rnacentral:rRNA from 1 species
AUUGAACGCUGGCGGAAUGCUUUACACAUGCAAGUCGAGCGGCAGCGCGGCCUUCGGGCUCGCUGCGAGCGGCGGACGGGUGAGUAAUUCAGCGGAACAUGCCCAGUCGUGGGGGAUAACACUUCGAAAGAAGUGCUAAUACCGCAUACGUCCUGAGGGCGAAAGCGGGGGAUCGCAAGACCUCGCGCGAUUGGAGUGGCCGAUGUCAGAUUAGCUAGUUGGUGGGGUAAAGGCCUACCAAGGCGACGAUCUGUAGCUGGUCUGAGAGGAUGAUCAGCCACACUGGAACUGAGACACGGCCCAGACUCCUACGGGAGGCAGCAGUGGGGAAUUUUGGACAAUGGGGGCAACCCUGAUCCAGCCAUUCCGCGUGAGUGAAGAAGGCCUUCGGGUUGUAAAGCUCUUUCGGCAGGAACGAAAAGGUGGGCUCUAACAUCGUCCGGUAAUGACGGUACCUGAAGAAGAAGCACCGGCUAACUACGUG